rnacentral:lncRNA from 1 species
UUCCAGGUAGACAUAAAAAGUUUGAAGUAUGCACAAAGCCUGAAAGUGUCAAAUAUGGAACCUAAAAAAACCUGCCUUUGCCACUGACUGUAUAAAGGUUUUUUAAGGUCUGUUUGUCAAGCGUCAAGUCAGGUUAUCUUGCUACUGGUACCAUAUAGUACAUGCUUAAUGCAGGUUGUACGCCAUCCAUAUGACGAUUGGGCAUCUGUUUGUAAAAUAUUGCUGCAAAUCUUUUUGAGAGAGCCAUUACUAUGGAGAACCAUCUAAACCAUACAAGUGUGGAAACAUGGAUAUUAAUGUGAAAUAAACUGAUGAGUUUAUUU